UACGUAGGGUGCAAGCGUUGUCCGGAAUUAUUGGGCGUAAAGAGCUCGUAGGCGGUUUGUCGCGUCGGCUGUGAAAACUCGGGGCUCAACCCCGAGCCUGCAGUCGAUACGGGCAAACUAGAGUGCUGUAGGGGAGACUGGAAUUCCUGGUGUAGCGGUGAAAUGCGCAGAUAUCAGGAGGAACACCGGUGGCGAAGGCGGGUCACUGGGCCGCAACUGACGCUGAGGAGCGAAAGCAUGGGGAGCGAACAGG
rnacentral:rRNA from 1 species